rnacentral:rRNA from 1 species
GACGAACGCUGGCGGCGUGCUUAACACAUGCAAGUCGAACGAUGAAGCCGGAGCUUGCUCUGGUGAAUUAGUGGCGAACGGGUGAGUAACACGUGAGUAACCUGCCCUUGACUCUGGGAUAACUGCGGGAAACUGUAGCUAAUACCGGAUACGACCCUCGGAGGCAUCUCCUGGGGGUGGAAAGAAUUUCGGUCAAGGAUGGACUCGCGGCCUAUCAGCUAGUUGGUGAGGUAAAGGCUCACCAAGGCGACGACGGGUAGUCGGCCUGAGAGGGUGACCGGCCACACUGGGACUGAGACACGGCCCAGACUCCUACGGGAGGCAGCAGUGGGGAAUAUUGCGCAAUGGGCGCAAGCCUGAUGCAGCAACGCCGCGUGAGGGAUGACGGCCUUCGGGUUGUAAACCUCUUUUAGCAGGGAAGAAGCGAAAGUGACGGUACCUGCAGAAAAAGCACCGGCUAACUACGUGCCAGCAGCCGCAGUAA